AAUAUUUAAUUUUUUUUUUAUUUUUUAUGGUUUUUUAAAUUUAAAAGUCUAUUUUUUUGUGGAAUUUUAUUUCUUACAAUCAAUUAUUUUCCUAUAUUUUUUCCUUCCAAUAUUUUAUUUAUUUUAUUCAUUUUUAUUUAAGAUUUUUACACUACGUACCAAAUUUAAUUACUUUUUUUUAUAUUUUUAAUGCUUAUCAAUUUAUUAAACAUUUUUACAAACCUAUUUUUACUUUUUUAAAUCUCAAAAAUUAUUAUAAUUACAAAAAUACUACAUUCACUAUUUGGUUUCUCUCAUUUUCGUUUCUUCUUCUUUGUCUCCGACUACUAAUGAAGGGUGGUGGUUCGGCAACUGAGUCGUAAGUCGGAUAAGUCGAGCUCAAAUUGCCACUUCCAACUACACAAAGCCAACUCGUUCAUGGAGUCCUUCCCUUGAGAACACAUUGCACCGACUCCGUUGUCGCAACUCACUCACCCCAUCACUUGUUGCACGAGUCAUUGACCCCAUCCUUCUCCCUCGCCACUCACUUGCACUUGGAUUCUUCAACUGGCAGCCCAACAACCAGGUUUCAGUCACACUUUCAUAACUUACCAAUCAAUCCUCAAAUCUCUUUCUUGUUCCCGCCAAUUCAAUGCCAUUUAUACUCUCCUCAAGCAAGUGAAAACCCAAAAAGUUACUCUCCAUUAUUCUAUUUAUGGCUUUGUUAGAUUUAGACCCAAAAUAUGUAACUCUUUAUUAGCUACUUUAGUUUUUGCUGGUUAUUUUGCGCAUGCUCAGAAGGUGUUCGAUGAAAUGUCUCAAAAAGAUGUUCCUUUUACGACUCUAGGAUUUGGUGUGUUUAUAUGGAGAUAUGUGAGAAAGUUGAAUUGAGUGUUGUUUUAAGUGUGUUAGAUGAGGUUAAAUCAUGUGAGUAUUAAUGGGAACUAUAAACUUGAUUGUGUUUGAAGUAUUUCAAUCAAUAGGGAAUGUGUUUAAGAUAGAGAAGGUUUUUUUUUUUUUUUUUAAAAAAAAAAGAGAGAAAGCUUGGGGUAGCUCCAAGGACUCUUGACUAUAGAGACUUCAUCUUAUGUUUGAUUAUGGAGAGGAGAUUAUAUGAAGCAAAAGAGUGGGUGAAAUAAUUGUUAGUGGAAACUUUCUAAUGGAGGAUGAUGUCUAAAGUUACAUAUUAAAGAGGAGUUGUUAUCAUGUUGUUUGUUUAUUGUCAUAUAGUUGUUCAAGCAUGUACAUUAAGAUUGUUUGUGUGUUGUUCAAUUUUAAUCCCACAUUAUUUAUUUAUGUAUCCAAAAGAUAAUAUUUUAAAUUAAUUUGAUUUGUGCCAAUAUAUUUAAGAAAUAUUUUUUUUUUGUUGUUUUAAAUUUUUAUUUUAAGUUUGACACUAUAUUUUGAUGGGAGUUGUUAUCCUUUUAUUUGUUUGUUGUUAUUUAGUUAUUCAAGCAUGUAUUAAUGUUGUUUGUGUGUUGUGUUUAUAUUGUUAGUUAGCAAUUAAAAAACAAUCCAAAUGCAAGUUAGCGAUUCUAAUCCCACGUUAUAUAUUUAUGUAUUUAGAAGAUAAUUUUUUUAAAUUUAUUUGAUUUGUGGCAAUAUAUUUCAGAUAUUUAUUUUCGUUGUUUUAAAUUUUUAUUUUGAGUUUAGGCGCUAUAUUUUGAUGUCUAAUUAAUUUUCAUAUUAAAGUAGAGUUAUUAUAUUCUUUUGUUUUUUUUUAUUUAUUUGUUCAACCAAUAUAAAAAUGAGUAUCUAUUUCAUUUUUCAUAGUUACAUAUACUUUUGAGUUAGUGUACAAGUAUUUUGUAGUUGUUUUUAGUUUUAGUUUUUUUUUUUUUAGAUUAUUGGUUUGUAGCUUUUAUUUUUGUUAUUGCAAUGUGUUGAAAUCUAUUUAAUUUGCAUAUUAAAGUGGGGUUGUUAUUGUGUUAUUUUAGUGUUUUUAUUUAGUUGUCUAAAUAAUGUAAAUAUAAUAAUAUGUUUAAUUUUUCAUGAGUACACCUAUUAAGAUUGCUUUUGUGUUGUUAAACCGUUGUUUCUUGGUUGUUAAUUAUCUGUUUAAACAUGUAUUAAGGUUGUGUGUGUGUUGUGAGAACCCAAAAAAGUUACUGCAAUGUGGUGUUGAAAUCUAUUUAUUUUUGUAUUGGGUUGUAACUUUUAUUUUUGUUAUUGCAAUGUGGUGUUGAAAUCUAUUUAACUUGCAUAUUAAAGUGAGAUUGUUAUUGUGUUGUUUUACUGUUGUUAUUUAAUUGUCCAAAUAACAUAAAAAUAAUAAUAAUAUGUUUAAUUUUUCAAAAGUAUAUGUAUUAAGAUUUUUUUUGUGUUGUUAUGCAGUUGUUUGUUGGUUGUUAAUUAGAUGUUUAAACAUGUAAUAAGGUUGUGUGUGUGUUGUGUAUAUGUUAUUUUAAGGUUGUUAACAGUAUUUUGUUCAUGUCCAAUUGAUUUACAUAUUUUUUUUUUUAAUUAGUAUUAUUGUGUAGUUAUAUUUUUGUUGUCAAAUAAAGUUAAAUGCCAAUUUUUGUAUAUAUCUUUAUAUAUUAAAAGUGCCUAUCUAACGGCAAUUCUUGGUUUAACGAUUCUAUUUUUUUUUUUAACGACAAAGACUAUUCUUUUUAUUUUUUAAACGGAUCUUUUCUAACGCCGUUAAGCUAUUAACAAAUUUAAAAAACCAAUCGAUCCUUCCAUUUCAAACCAAUCGACUUCACUCUCCCAAUCCCAAUCUACGACUCUAAGGUGAGUUCGGAGGUCAUAAGAAUUUUUCCCUUUUUUCCCUCGGUUGGAGUCGACUUUAUGGUGAGAGCUUGAUCAGAGGCCCAAUCCCAAUCGGAGGUCAAUCGGAAAAAAGGUUAUAAGAAAACUCCUCCAUUUUAAAUCGCUAUACUGAACUACUCUUCCAAAUCACCGACUCCUCCAUUUCACUCUCCCAAUCCCAAUCGGAGGUCAUUCGAUUUUAAUCCCUCGGUUGGAGUCGACGAUUGAAGGCAUAAAGAACGUUUUGGGUUCUUAAUCGCUACUUUCGAAUCGAAAAUUGGGAGUUCAGUCGGACGCCGCCACUACUAGCCCCAAGGGCCGUAGAUCUGACUCCAGAUUUCUUCAUUGGUAUAUUCGACGUGAGAAUCGGUUAGUAUCUCCACGCCCAAAAUAUGGAUUUCAGACCCAACCCAGUUCACCGUGUUAACCUGUGAUAUUAUGCACCUAUUCAUUGAAUUUCCAAUUUCCAAUUUCAACUGAACCAGACAAGUAGUAAAUCUCCCUCUCAUUUUUAAGACUUCUAUGAUUCUAUCUGUCAAUGUUUUUAAUAUUGCCAAAUAUUACUUUUUUUUUAUUUAUUCUCUUAUCUAUUUUUUAUUUUAGGCAGCUGUUAUAAAACAAAGAUCUUGGAUGGUUUUGAUGUGCAGAGAACCCUUGGCUUGAGUGACGCACUGAAGAAGUCCACCAUUCAUAUUUCUUGUGCAGUGGUAAUGUAAGUGAAUAUUAUUUUUUUUUAUUUGAUGUUAAGUGAUUAUUACUUGUAUUGCACUUUUUCUGAACCUGGUUCAACCUACAAUUCCAACAGCUGGAGAGACCAGCUGCAUAUGAUUAUUUAUUGAAUCAAUUUCAAUUUCAAGUUUUUCUUCAAGAGAUAUACAAACAUACAGGCAGCUCCCAAUGGUUUAUUUGGGCUUGGAAUGGAGAAGAUAUCAGUACCUAGAAUUUUAUCGAGGGAAGACUUUAUAGCAAAUUUUUUUUCCUGCAUCUCUUUUAUAUUAUUUAUAAUGUGUGGCUUAAUGCUCUAGGCUUGUGCCCGAUAAGAAUUUAAAUUCUGCUUGGUGAUUGGACUAAUGGGAUACUGUGUAGCUUUGGAAUGCAUUUCAUAAUAUAUAUAUAUUACGUACUUACAUUAGUUGUUGAUUGUUGAAUGUCCUUGUCUGAAUUGUCUUGUUUAUAGAGUGUUUUAUACAAACUUGAUAGUCAGAAUAUGAACAAUUUGAAUAGGUGAUAUAGUUUGUAUUGUUAUUUUUAUUUAAUACACAAUUCAAAUAUAUGGUUAUGGUUUUGGUUCCCUAACAUUUAAUUCUUGUAGCAAAAUGAUUAGCGGUUUUGAUAUGGCACCUCCUGCAUCUGCAAUGUUAGUUACUGCAGUAGCUUGUUUGGGAUGAUUAUUAUUAUGUCAAGAAUCCAAACAUAAACAUGUGACUCACCAUGACACAUGUAAAUCCAUUUAAUAAAUGCUUAAGUGUGCUUUUUAAUCGCUAUUUAAAAUGUUUAAAGUGAGUUAUGCUUGUAUUGUGCUGACAUGACACUACCUUUUUACUUAAAUGUAUCAUGUGUCACUUUCGAGUUAAAUGUAUGUCUCAUCAUUAUUUAUGUUCAUGUUGCAUAUGUCGAAUGUUGGUUUGUCAUUUGAAUGUGUUCUAUCUAAAAAAAUUGUAUGACAUAAUUUCAAAUAGUGAAAGUGUUUGGUAAAGAUCAAACAUAGAAUGUGUAAAUGGAUGCUUAUUCCUGUGGUUGAGAAACUAACAAAUUAUUAUCCAUAAAUAUGACACAAUUAUGAUGAUGACUUUAGAAUCAGAAUCGGGUGUUGUCAUUUUUUAUGAAGAUGGGGAACCUGAAGAGAGAGUUUCGUUAACCUUGGAAUGCCUUCCACAGUAUGAUCCUGCUAAAUAUUGGAAUGGUGAUACAAAUCAAACUUUCCGCUAUUGGAAGAUACGUGACUAUGCUCAUGCUUAUCGCUCAAGGAUUAGAACACCAUCUACAGUGAGUUGGUGUUACUUCGCUAAAAGAAUGUAUCAUUAUUUAUAUUGCUACUGAAUUCUAAUAUCACAUGCUUUUAGGUUACAGGCAUGUAAUCUCGGUUCUUGAGGAGUUUAGCAGCAAGAAACCUGCAAUUCCUAUGUUGAUUUCAUUUGAUGUAGAGGAAGUCAGGAAGCAAGCUGCAACAUUGACAAAAAGAUUUGAGGAAGGCAAUCCAUUAUCUAUCUAGGAUGGAAUUUUUAUGGCAGUUAAGGAUGAUAUAGACUGUUAUCCUCAUCCAUCAAAUGGUGGAUCAACAUGGAUGCACGAGGGUCGCCCUGUCAAGAAGGAUGCAGUUAGUGUUUCAAAACUACGUAGAUGCGGUGUAAGAUUAAUCUUCUGCUCCAAUUCAAACAAAUCUUCUUAUGACGCCUUACAAAAUGGGAAAGUUCAAUCUUUCUCAUAGGUGACCAUCUUUCUUCUUUGAUUAGUAGGAAUCUCAUAUGGGUCUUGUUCAAUGUUUUUAUUUUCUGUCUCCUGAUUAAUUUUAUAUUGAUUGUUUCUU